CCCGGCACAAGUGGUGGAGCAUGUUGGUUUAAUUCGAAGCAACGCGAAGAACCUUACCUGGCCUUGACAUGCUGAGAACUUUCCAGAGAUGGAUUGGUGCCUUCGGGAACUCAGACACAGGUGCUGCAUGGCUGUCGUCAGCUCGUGUCGUGAGAUGUUGGGUUAAGUCCCGCAACGAGCGCAACCCUCGCCUUUAGUUGCCAGCAUUCAGUUGGGCACUCUAGAGGGACUGCCGGUGUCAAACCGGAGGAAGGUGGGAUGACGUCAAGUCCUCAUGGCCUUUAUGUCUAGGGCUACACACGUACUACAAUGGCCGGUACAAAGGGCAGCCACUCAGCGAUGAGGCGCUAAUCCCAUAAAGCCGGUCUCAGUCCGGAUCGCAGUCUGCAACUCGACUGCGUGAAGUUGGAAUCGCUAGUAAUCGUAGAUCAGCAUGCUACGGUGAAUACGUUCCCGGGCCUU
rnacentral:rRNA from 1 species